rnacentral:rRNA from 1 species
GAUGAACGCUGGCGGCGUGCCUAAUACAUGCAAGUCGAGCGAACGGACGAGAAGCUUGCUUCUCUGAUGUUAGCGGCGGACGGGCGAGUAACACGUGGAUAACCUACCUAUAAGACUGGGAUAACUUCGGGAAACCGGAGCUAAUACCGGAUAAUAUUUUGAACCGCAUGGUUCAAAAGUGAAAGACGGUCUUGCUGUCACUUAUAGAUGGAUCCGCGCUGCAUUAGCUAGUUGGUAAGGUAACGGCUUACCAAGGCAACGAUGCAUAGCCGACCUGAGAGGGUGAUCGGCCACACUGGAACUGAGACACGGUCCAGACUCCUACGGGAGGCAGCAGUAGGGAAUCUUCCGCAAUGGGCGAAAGCCUGACGGAGCAACGCCGCGUGAGUGAUGAAGGUCUUCGGAUCGUAAAACUCUGUUAUUAGGGAAGAACAUAUGUGUAAGUAACUGUGCACAUCUUGACGGUACCUAAUCAGAAAGCCACGGCUAACUACGUGCCAGCAGCCGCGGUAAUACGUAGGUGGCAAGCGUUAUCCGGAAUUAUUGGGCGUAAAGCGCGCGUAGGCGGUUUUUUAAGUCUGAUGUGAAAGCCCACGGCUCAACCGUGGAGGGUCAUUGGAAACUGGAAAACUUGAGUGCAGAAGAGGAAAGUGGAAUUCCAUGUGUAGCGGUGAAAUGCGCAGAGAUAUGGAGGAACACCAGUGGCGAAGGCGACUUUCUGGUCUGUAACUGACGCUGAUGUGCGAAAGCGUGGGGAUCAAACAGGAUUAGAUACCCUGGUAGUCCACGCCGUAAACGAUGAGUGCUAAGUGUUAGGGGGUUUCCGCCCCUUAGUGCUGCAGCUAACGCAUUAAGCACUCCGCCUGGGGAGUACGACCGCAAGGUUGAAACUCAAAGGAAUUGACGGGGACCCGCACAAGCGGUGGAGCAUGUGGUUUAAUUCGAAGCAACGCGAAGAACCUUACCAAAUCUUGACAUCCUUUGACAACUCUAGAGAUAGAGCCUUCCCCUUCGGGGGACAAAGUGACAGGUGGUGCAUGGUUGUCGUCAGCUCGUGUCGUGAGAUGUUGGGUUAAGUCCCGCAACGAGCGCAACCCUUAAGCUUAGUUGCCAUCAUUAAGUUGGGCACUCUAAGUUGACUGCCGGUGACAAACCGGAGGAAGGUGGGGAUGACGUCAAAUCAUCAUGCCCCUUAUGAUUUGGGCUACACACGUGCUACAAUGGACAAUACAAAGGGCAGCGAAACCGCGAGGUCAAGCAAAUCCCAUAAAGUUGUUCUCAGUUCGGAUUGUAGUCUGCAACUCGACUACAUGAAGCUGGAAUCGCUAGUAAUCGUAGAUCAGCAUGCUACGGUGAAUACGUUCCCGGG